rnacentral:piRNA from 1 species
UGCGAGAAUGUGAGUACGUUGGAUGGAC